AUACAGAGGGGGCAAGCGUUAUUCGGAAUUACUGGGCGUAAAGGGCGCGCAGGCGGCAUGGCAAGUCGAGUGUGAAAUCCCCCGGCUUAACUGAGGAAUGGCGCUCGAAACUACCUCGCUAGAGGGCGGGAGAGGGAAGUGGAACUCUCGGUGUAGGGGUGAAAUCUGUAGAUAUCGAGAGGAACACCGGUGGCGAAGGCGGCUUCCUGGCCCGUACCUGACGCUGAGGCGCGAAAGCGUGGGGAGCAAACA
rnacentral:rRNA from 1 species